rnacentral:rRNA from 1 species
UUAAGCGACUAAGCGUACACGGUGGAUGCCCUGGCAGUCAGAGGCGAUGAAGGACGUGCUAAUCUGCGAAAAGCGUCGGUAAGGUGAUAUGAACCGUUAUAACCGGCGAUGUCCGAAUGGGGAAACCCAGUGCAAUUCGUUGCACUAUCGUUAACUGAAUACAUAGGUUAACGAGGCGAACCGGGGGAACUGAAACAUCUAAGUACCCCGAGGAAAAGAAAUCAACCGAGAUUCCCCCAGUAGCGGCGAGCGAACGGGGAGCAGCCCAGAGUCUGAAUCAGCUUGUGUGUUAGUGGAACGGUCUGGAAAGUCCGACGGUACAGGGUGAUAGUCCCGUACACCAAAAUGCACAGGUUGUGAACUCGAAGAGUAGGGCGGGACACGUGGUAUCCUGUCUGAAUAUGGGGGGACCAUCCUCCAAGGCUAAAUACUCCUGACUGACCGAUAGUGAACCAGUACCGUGAGGGAAAGGCGAAAAGAACCCCGGCGAGGGGAGUGAAAAAGAACCUGAAACCGUGUACGUACAAGCAGUGGGAGCACCUUCGGGUGUGACUGCGUACCUUUUGUAUAAUGGGUCAGCGACUUAUAUUCUGUAGCAAGGUUAACCGUAUAGGGGAGCCGCAGGGAAACCGAGUCUUAACUGGGCGUUAAGUUGCAGGGUAUAGACCCGAAACCCGGUGAUCUAGCCAUGGGCAGGUUGAAGGUUGGGUAACACUAACUGGAGGACCGAACCGACUAAUGUUGAAAAAUUAGCGGAUGACUUGUGGCUGGGGGUGAAAGGCCAAUCAAACCGGGAGAUAGCUGGUUCUCCCCGAAAGCUAUUUAGGUAGCGCCUCGUGAACUCAUCUUCGGGGGUAGAGCACUGUUUCGGCUAGGGGGUCAUCCCGACUUACCAACCCGAUGCAAACUACGAAUACCGAAGAAUGUUAUCACGGGAGACACACGGCGGGUGCUAACGUCCGUCGUGAAGAGGGAAACAACCCAGACCGCCAGCUAAGGUCCCAAAGUCAUGGUUAAGUGGGAAACGAUGUGGGAAGGCACAGACAGCCAGGAUGUUGGCUUAGAAGCAGCCAUCAUUUAAAGAAAGCGUAAUAGCUCACUGGUCGAGUCGGCCUGCGCGGAAGAUGUAACGGGGCUAAACCAUGCACCGAAGCUGCGGCAGCGACACUAUGUGUUGUUGGGUAGGGGAGCGUUCUGUAAGCCUGCGAAGGUGACCUGUGAGGGUUGCUGGAGGUAUCAGAAGUGCGAAUGCUGACAUAAGUAACGAUAAAGCGGGUGAAAAGCCCGCUCGCCGGAAGACCAAGGGUUCCUGUCCAACGUUAAUCGGGGCAGGGUGAGUCGACCCCUAAGGCGAGGCCGAAAGGCGUAGUCGAUGGGAAACAGGUUAAUAUUCCUGUACUUGGUGUUACUGCGAAGGGGGGACGGAGAAGGCUAUGUUAGCCGGGCGACGGUUGUCCCGGUUUAAGCAUGUAGGCUGAUUGUCCAGGCAAAUCCGGAUAAUCAAGGCUGAGGUGUGAUGACGAGGCACUACGGUGCUGAAGUAACAAAUGCCCUGCUUCCAGGAAAAGCCUCUAAGCAUCAGGUAACAUUAAAUCGUACCCCAAACCGACACAGGUGGUCAGGUAGAGAAUACCAAGGCGCUUGAGAGAACUCGGGUGAAGGAACUAGGCAAAAUGGUGCCGUAACUUCGGGAGAAGGCACGCUGGUGUGUAGGUGAAGCCCCUGCGGGUGGAGCUGAGACCAGUCGAAGAUACCAGCUGGCUGCAACUGUUUAUUAAAAACACAGCACUGUGCAAACACGAAAGUGGACGUAUACGGUGUGACGCCUGCCCGGUGCCGGAAGGUUAAUUGAUGGGGUUAUCCGUAAGGAGAAGCUCUUGAUCGAAGCCCCGGUAAACGGCGGCCGUAACUAUAACGGUCCUAAGGUAGCGAAAUUCCUUGUCGGGUAAGUUCCGACCUGCACGAAUGGCGUAAUGAUGGCCAGGCUGUCUCCACCCGAGACUCAGUGAAAUUGAACUCGCUGUGAAGAUGCAGUGUACCCGCGGCAAGACGGAAAGACCCCGUGAACCUUUACUAUAGCUUGACACUGAACAUUGAGCCUUGAUGUGUAGGAUAGGUGGGAGGCUUUGAAGCGUGGACGCCAGUCUGCGUGGAGCCAACCUUGAAAUACCACCCUUUAAUGUUUGAUGUUCUAACGUUGGCCCCUGACCGGGGUUGCGGACAGUGUCUGGUGGGUAGUUUGACUGGGGCGGUCUCCUCCCAAAGCGUAACGGAGGAGCACGAAGGUUAGCUAAUCCUGGUC